rnacentral:misc_RNA from 1 species
AAGGAUCAUUACAGUAAAUUGCUGUAGACCUGAUGUCCUGGAUUAAAACUGUGGUAUGAAUAAGAUCUACCAUGUGGCCUGUAAUGGGGGCAUCCAGCAUCGCCUAACCAUGUUAACAUUAACUGAAGCGUAACCUUUGGCAGAUUUUAUUUUGCCAGUAGGAAGCAUUAAACUCUUUUUUAAUUAAGCUAAUAAAUCAAUAUUUAUCAGUCUGAAAAUAAGUUAAUUAUAUUAAAACUUUCAACAACGGAUCUCUUGGUUCUG